UGAGGAAUAUUGGUCAAUGGACGCAAGUCUGAACCAGCCAAGUAGCGUGCAGGAUGACGGCCCUAUGGGUUGUAAACUGCUUUUAUAUGGGGAUAAAGUGGGGAACGUGUUCCCUUUUGCAGGUACCAUAUGAAUAAGGACCGGCUAACUACGUGCCAGCAGCCGCGGUAAUACGUAGGGCGCAAGCGUUAUCCGGAAUUAUUGGGCGUAAAGAGCUUGUAGGCGGUUCGUCGCGUCUGGUGUGAAAGCCCAUCGCUUAACGGUGGGUUUGCGCCGGGUACGGGCGGGCUAGAGUGCAGUAGGGGAGACUGGAAUUCCCGGUGUAACGGUGGAAUGUGUAGAUAUCGGGAAGAACACCAAUGGCGAAGGCAGGUCUCUGGGCUGUUACUGACGCUGAGAAGCGAAAGCGUGGGGAGCGAACAGG
rnacentral:rRNA from 1 species